AUGAGGAGGAGUGCCAGGCAAAACCAGCAGACCUCUGCAAUUGAAGAAGAUGAUGGAGCAAGUGAUAGUGAUGAUGAAGAUUAUGAACCUGAUAUGCUUGUGGACAGUGACAAUGAGAUAGGGGAUGAUGAUGAUGACUUGUAUGCAGAUAAUGUAGAUGAGGAUGAACCUGAGCAGAGAGAUGAAAAGAAAUCAAAUGAUAAAGCAAAGCAAAAAGGGAAAGAGAAAGUAGUCCUACCAAUCAACAAAAAGGGAAAGAAGCAUACCAGUCUGAUGAAGACAUGUCAGAAAAUGAUGAUUUGUGGGCUCCUGAUUCAGAUGAUGAAGAGCUCAAUUUGA
rnacentral:rRNA from 1 species